rnacentral:rRNA from 1 species
GACGAGCCGUGCGAACGUUGUUCGGAAUCACUGGGCUUAAAGGGCGCGUAGGCGGGUCGGCAAGUCCGGGGUGAAAGCCCCCAGCUCAACUGGGGAAGUGCCUUGGAAACUGCCGGUCUCGAGGGAGGUAGGGGCAUGUGGAACUUCGGGUGGAGCGGUGAAAUGCGUUGAUAUCCGAAGGAACGCCGGUGGCGAAGCGACGUGCUGGACCUCUACUGACGCUGAGGCGCGAAAGCCAGGGGAGCAAACGGG